rnacentral:lncRNA from 1 species
UUUUGCUUGUGACUGUGGCGUGCUGACGUGGCGUCACCACCGCACGUAACAUGUGUACGCGCUCACAAGGCCCGCGUGAAUGAAUGAAAACCGUGCGUUUUACUGUGUGCCCGAUCGACGAGGACGCACGGGCACUAGUCCACCACACACAGAGUCCUAGUCGUAGACCAUACGCAUCAGGCGCAAGCGACAAGCAACUCAAGUAAGGUCUUAUUUAUCUACUCCCAAAUUCCCAACUUUAGCAAUAUGCAAAAAGAAG